AGUCACAGACUCGUUCAUAAGGAGAAAAAGGAAGACAUGUGGAGACGAGGCCCUCACACAUCUCCUAAGCUGCCAUCUUACCUGGCUCUGGAGCCCCUUUGAGAAAGUCAGGUGGGGCCUGGAAUCUUUACUCCAAGAGUUGGCCAGGAAUAAACUUUCUGUUUGCUCGGCCCCAGCCCCCUCCAGGAUAUUUGCAGGUCCCGCAGGAGUGAUUUUAUAAAAGUGGUGGAUGAACCAUAAAUUCCCGAAUUCUUUGUUCAUAUGUAUUUUAUGAAUUUAGAAAGCAGACUCAAAGGAGAAGUUGUAGGACGAGAUGUGAUACCAUGUUCUACAUGGAUUUGUGAAUUAAGUGGUUUGAAUCGUUACCGAGUAGUUUGAGAUUCAAGCAUGAUGCUUUCUACUGGAAUGUGAGCAGUUUACUGCUUCUAAGCACUGCUCUGGGUAUCUAGUAAGAAGCACAUUCAUUCCUUCAGACCCUAUUUCUGUGUCUGUGGUCACCUGGGCCUGCCCACCUCCCCUUCCUGAGACACUGCUUUCAUUAUGCCUCUCGGCCCUGGCUCAGGGAUCCUGCACGGUUUCCUCCAACUCCUUGACCUGGCAUUGGAGUCAGGGAGGGAGUGUGUUGGCUGGAGGAAGGAAGGGCGGUAGUUCAGGGAAAAGUCCGUAACCCUGAACAGGAACAGAGUAACAGAUCUCAGUGAGUGAGAUGACUGUAACAGAUUUUCUUCCUGCCAUUCAUCAGUUUAAAUGGAAUUCUGAUUAACUGUAGACUGGGUCUUUGUUUCCAUUUACACAUAAUUAAGACUAAGGUAACUUUGGGGGCCCCAGCCAACACUAAAUAUUCUGGGUCUUUAUUUUUUAGGGAUUAGCCUAGGAGUUUUUAGUUGUCAGCCUUUGACCACCUUAUUGACCACCAGAAAAUAAAAUUAUUUCAUUGUAAAGCAAUUCCUAGGAGACAUGCAUUUAAGUGUAUUAUCCGAUUAUUAAAAUGCCCCCCCCACACACAGAAUUAAACCCAACAUUGAGCACUACAUUGUACUGAUUUUUUUUCUGACAUUACUUUCUUACCUCACCUUCUUCUCCCAAAGCACAUUCUACUCGAGCAGCGUUUGUGUCUGGUGAGUAUUUUGGCUUGAGGAUUUUAGAUUUCGUUCCAGCAUUCCUUGUUCUUAAGUCAGUUAAGUUUAAUAAGAUUUUGCUGGCUUUCUUUGAGCUUUUCUUGGAUCUCUUGUUAGUGAUUAUUAUUCACAUCAUACUAAAGAAAAGUAUAUGCUGUCCUCUUAUUUAGUAUGUUUGGUGUAGGGCUCACAGCAAUCGUCUGGCGUGCAAAGGCUCACAUUUAAGGGCAAGUGCUUUAUAAUUUAGUGUAACGUUAACUGUAACGCAUGAGGCUGUUUGCUUUAUGGGCUCCAACUAAACCAAGUAGAUGUAACUUCAUGGGCUGAGGAAGAAUGCUUUCUCUUAACCAAAGCCACUUUUCAGCCAUUUAAAACUAUUCUUAAUGAACUGAUUGUGCCUUUUUUUCACUAUUCUAAUGUCUUUAAACAGUUUCCUUGUGAAAACAUAAGGCAUUCUUGGAUUCCUCUUUUAGGGUGUGCAUUGCAUGGGACCAGAGUCAUGUGGUAUUUCAACCUUUGAUUACUGCCUCUCCUCUUUCAUCCAUCUAAGUGGCAGAGACAAAAUGUGUUUGAAAAUGAAUUUCCCACGCCCCGCUUCCUUCACCUUUCAGGGAGCAGCCAGCUGAAGAGCUGCCUUUUAACUAGCGCUCUCUAAAGAGGAGAUAGUUAACUAAUAAUAGUGGAGGAAGGGACAUCCUUACCCAUCUUCCCCCAGUUUUGGAUAACACAAUUCCUUUUUUGUUUAUUGAAAUCGCUGGGGACAAAAUAGCAUCAUUUCUUGCUUGCUUCUUAGGACCAGACUCUACUAAUAAGAACUUUCUUUUUAACUUAAAUUAGUGCUCAAGCUGUUUCAUGCAAGUAGGAUUUGUCCCAGCUGAGGGGCUUUGAGUCUGAGCGGAACAGACAGAGAAUCACGUAUAGUAUGCACAAACAUACUUUUGGAACGUCGCAUAGAAAUGCCUCCACAGGUCACCAGGCCCAGUUACUAAUGGAGGCCACUGUUCUUGCUCUUCCCUCCACAUCCCCACUGGAGAGACGUCUUUAAGUGUCAGUCAUUCCUCUUCUGCCAGUUUUGAUUAAGUUGCUAUAGGGAUUUUUAAAUAUGUUCAAAAUGCACGUUUCUAUCAUUGUGUCUGCUGAAUCUUUAUUACAUCUCUGCAAAAUUUUUAUUGUCUCCAGGAGGAAAACUGCAAAUUAUUUAAUAGCACAGUUGGAGGUAGGAUUUUCUCAGCUGAACAGUAGCCACUAAAUGUUUACCUGGGCUUUCAAGUGCAUAGAAGUGAAAGACAGCAAAGGGGACUCAGCAGAAGGAUUGCCCAUAACCAGACAUUGUAGCAGUUUGGUCAUUUUGAAAAACAUGCCUUAUUUUCUCCCAUAGACUGGCAUUUCCCAUCAGUCAUAAAGAAAAUAUAAAACUUGUGUGUUAUAAGUGUAGACAUUCAUUACUGAAGGUAGAAAUGGUCAUAAUCAGGAGUCUAAAUGUAUCUUAGGUAUAAAUUCAACAUGGUUUGAAAUAGGAUUUUAGUGUCACAUAGUUUAGAAGUUAUUUUAUUUUUCAUUGGUUAAAAUAACCAACCUAAGACAUUCUGCCUAAAAAUCAUGAUUUAAAGAAAAGCAGUUCUUUAUCAGUGUGAAUCAAGUCUGUGAAACACAGAGCAUACUCACAUGGAUUUUAGGUGUGCCACCAAGGAUUGAAGAUGGGAAGGGAUGAAGGCUAUCGUCAAGAGUCGUGUCUCCCCUUCUCUCACCUGCAGAUAUAGGCUUUGUGUGGAAAUACAAUUAACUACUAAUGGGGUCUGUGUUCAUCACCUCCCUGAAUAUGUCUGGUCAUGUGCAUGAUUAAGACUAGUUUUCCAUCAACAUUGCAUUUAAGAUUAUAUAACAUUUGAAUUAUUUUUAUUCUGCAAUCCCAUGACUAUGUCCUUUCCAUAAUGUCAUCACAAAAUUACCUUUCUAAGAAUUUUAAUAGUAAGGCUUAUCACUACUAAAAAUAUUCCAAAGUAUUCUGAUAUAAUGAAUAGCAGUCUUAAGUAAACACAUGAAUGAGUAAAAUUCUUUCAAAAUUAUGAGAUGGGACUUGAUUGUGCAUUGUACCUGUGUCUUUGGCAAAGAAAAUAGAUUUCGGUGGCAGAUAGUCUCAAAUUUUUAACAAUAUUAAUGGUUUCAUCGAACCCUUCCCAUAUACCAGAUCUUGUACUAUGUUCUACACAUGCUCUCUGAUUUAAUCCUGGAAACAGCCCAAGGAGUUCAGAGCUGUUGCUUCUGUCCAGUGCUAAAUGAGACCAUGAAGUGCCAUUUCAGAGAGAGUGUGGGACUCGGGAUGAGUCUCUGACUGCGAGGUGUCUUCGUGUCCGCAGAAGCUCACAAGUCAGGACUGCCAUGACAUAAGCACCGCAUGGACUCACCUCCAAGGUCACUGAUCACAUCCAGAUGAUGGGCUCUGGCUGCAGGAGGAGUUCCAGGCUGGGACACAGUGGCAACUCCUCACAUUCCUCUCACACAGACCGGAGGGAGAGUCCACCUCAUUUCCCCGCUGUCUGUGUCCUAUCCAUGCUGCACUCAAACACAGUGGUGGUGGAAAUGCCAGUGGUAAUGAGUCUAUCUUGCAGCUUUUAAGGGUAACAUGCCCUUUAUGGAGGAGCUGUCCGGACAAGACCGGCUGCUUCAGAUGUUGGCUUGCCCUAACGCCCCUGAGGGUUUGGGGGAACUGUGUCCUCACCAUUGCAAGCCCUGAGCACACUUCCUGGUGCACCUCCCUCUCCAGUUUACACCAGCAGGGCUUAGCCUCAGCCACUGGAUGCGGACGGCUCACCAGCUGCUUAGGAGAACGGCCAAAGUAUUUGCCGCCAGCCGCACGGAGUCCUGGGUCUGAAUCCUACCCUCCCACGUGCCGACUGUGCAAAUCUGGGUAGUUAUUUAUCCUUCCUGUGUCCCGGUUCCUCAUCUAUAAAAUCUCCACCUACUUUCCAGAAUUGUUUUCAGAAUUAAGUGUUUUCCUAUGUCAAGUGCUUAGGACAUCGUGUUUGACAUGUAGUGAAGUUUUGGACAUGUUGACUGUUGCUGUCUCUAAUAUGUAAUUAGACUUCAUGCCUAUCCUCUGUAUGACCUGCGGGCUGACUGUCCCCCUCCCCCUUUCCUGGUGAUACCCAGACUGGUGACACCCAUCUCCUUUCUUCUCCUGAGUUCUGUGGUUCACAGCCCCCACUGAUGACCCGUCCGUACACAGUUUUCUCUCAGUAGCCCCAGAGUGCUUCUGCUCUUCCUGAGUGCUGUGACUGUCCUGCCCGUGUGCUGCUCACCGAGCCGCUUUUUCCUCUACCCAUACCUUUUCAUUGUGGUUUUCCUACCCCCUCUUGUCUGUUAAAGAUUUCAGAUCCCCGGAGUGCUGGAGUGGUUCAAUUGAUGAAGUGUCUGUCCUCAGCUUAGGUCAUGACCCAGGGUCCCAGGAUCAAGUCCUGCAUCAGUCUCCCUGCUCAGUGGGGACUCUGCUUCUUCUGCCUCUGUGCCCCCACCCCCGACAGCUUGUACUCUCUGUUUCUGUCUGACAAAUAAAUAGAUAAAAUCUUUAAAAAAAAAUUUUCAAAUCCCCAUUUCCUGCCCAUAUCUAUCAUAUGAUUGAUGUCUCUGUAUUCACAGUCACAUGUAGGACAUCUUCCUUCAAAUAUUCUGCCAAAGUAUCAGAGGAGAGCGCUUUGAAACCCUUAAAUGGAAGCCUGGGUACCUUUGUUAAUUAGACACAAGUAAGCAUAGCUUAUUGUAACUAGAUACCAUUGACUUGGGCAAGAUCGUGAAUUUUGGAAGAAACUAAAAUGUGAGGAAACAGAACAAUAUGGAUUUUUUAAAAUAACCUACUCAGAAGUAGCAUAAAUGGCAGAAAACUGAACCAAGAGUAGCCUUGAUGAAUGAGGUUGUGUUGCUCGUCAGAGGCAAAGGGCCAGUGGACGCUCAUCUGUGAGCCACCCACUGAAACGUUACUAGGGCUUCACCUUUACAUAUUUUCCUACGUUUGAGCGAAGCUGAAUUUUAUUCCAAGUUUGACCUGAAACUUUUCUCUUCAGCUGUCUUAAAAAAAGGCAGUCCUUGAGGCAAAACUCAGAGUGUGGUGAGGGAAGCCUGAACGUUGCUUACCUGUGGGGGCAGAGUAUGGCGAUUGGUUGGCGGGAGCACCGGUGAGCUUUCUGGCCUGCUGGGGGGGUCUUGUAUCCCAACCUGAGUGGGAGACGCACAGACAUGAACAUGCAUGAAAAUCCAUCAGGUCCAACACUUACUUAUACUUUGUGCCUCUUACCGACAAGCCAGGCGAAAUAGGAAUGAUGUAAGGCCUUUGAAGAACUAAAAUGUCCUUUCCUCAUUUUGGAAGACAGGAAGGGUAUUCCAUUCAUUCUUCUCUUCCUGGUUAUGCAGCGGGAGGAGUUAAGAGGCAGGAGGAAGGUGUGGGGUGCUUUCCUCCAGGACUUUGUCAUCCUCCCAGCUCCGCCCUCCCCCCCCCCCCCCCCCCCCCCCCCCGCCCGCCCCAGCCCCAACUCAUCCCCUUGCUGUUUGUGUGGAUAAAUGUUUUCCGGGAUUUGAAGAGAGCACACCACAUGCUCCACAGCUGCAUUUUUAUUCAGAAGCUGAAGGGUAGAGCCUUUUGUGACACGAUCACAUUCUUCCCCAGUUUGCUUUCCUACUAGCAUCUCUGUCGGCUGCCCAUCUUCCCGUCGUGGUGCUUGAGAGUAGAAACUAUUUUCUGCCUUUUCCUCCUCAACAAGUGCCUAGUGAAUUGGAGCUUCUAGGGUGGAGAAGAGAUGGCAAAAGGAAUGAUUCAGUAAUAAGGAGACAAUAAAGAGCCAUCCAUGUGGAGACAGUAACACAUCUUUUCCAUCCAUCUGUCGAAGGCCUUACGAUAGAACUAAGCCAAGGUUAUAAAAAGAUUGCAAUUUUCCAUAUGCAAGAGCCAGAUUUAGGGCCAGGAGGAAGGAACAGAGAGGGUGUUUCUAACAUUUCUGACAUGAGAGAGUCUACAUGUGUAAGCCUUUUCUUCCAAAAUACCUCAUUCUAUGACAGAAGUCAGGUUCGGGGAAACGUACUGCUCUCAGUUGACUUAGAACGGAAAGUACGUUUACUUUGUGAGAAAUUGCUUCAUAUUAGGAAAGCAUCUGGGAGUCUGCUAUAAUUCUCCCUCUGGGGCUCAUGCCGUUGUCCUGUUUGGAAGUGGUUCUGAGUGAGCUGAGGGCUUCCGAAAUCUCCUUCAGGACCUUAGUUCUAGGCUGUAACAUAGGAUGCACACAUCACUGGAGAACUGCAGUCCUCUCGUUACCCCUGCUGUUCUCUCCCUCCCCAGAGUCACUGUGAAGUCACGGAUACAGCAGUAACACUGUAAACCCAUUAGUUCUCUAAAAGGAGUAGGAUUUCCUAAGUUCACUCUGUCCCAGCUCUUGCCUUUCCUGAAGCCAAAAUAACAAAAACAGUGCGAUUCUGUGAAAACCAUGGAAUCUGUGGACCCACCAGGAUAGAUGAGACAGACCUCGGUAUACAUAAAACCUCACUAAAGUAAAACCUCUUGAUGACUCUGUGGGCUUCUGACUUCCACCCAGCUCCCAGUCUCAAAUGGAACCUAACAUUUGCUGCUGCUUCUGACAAAAGCCUGGAGGAGGUGGGAGGUGAUUUCCUGUCCCAGUGUCCCCAGAUCUUGCUAAGCAAAUGUGACUUUCAACCUUCCAUACUCAAACUUGUAUGAUAAAGAGUAAUUUUGUAGAGGCAAUGUAAUCCCAAAUAUGUGGGAAAUGAAUUUUAAGAAAGGUGAAUGA